rnacentral:rRNA from 1 species
UACGUAGGGGGCAAGCGUUGUCCGGAUUUAUUGGGCGUAAAGAGUUCGUAGGCGGUUCGUCGCGUCGGCUGUGAAAUCCCGAGGCUCAACCUCGGGUCUGCAGUCGAUACGGGCGGACUGGAGUUCGGCAGGGGAGACUGGAAUUCCUGGUGUAGCGGUGAAAUGCGCAGAUAUCAGGAGGAACACCGAUGGCGAAGGCGGGUCUCUGGGCCGAUACUGACGCUGAGGAGCGAAAGCGUGGGGAGCGAACAGG